rnacentral:misc_RNA from 1 species
AUGAACGAAGAGCGAGCGCAUGCGGGAUGAGCAGCACGAAUUUAAAGCGUGGAGAAAUCACCCACGGCGAGACGAAGAGAGCAAGGAGUGCUCGUGAACUCAAUGGCAGAAUCGGUGGCAGCCGAUGCUAGAGCGCGCAACGAGGGAGUUUCACAGUUUGACGAGACCGUGGCCAGACGAGCUUGGACACAAGCACAAGCAUAAGCAGGCCGAGAGGAGCAGAUACGGCGCCGGCCAACCACUGGACAACCGUGGCAGCCAGGAACUCGCUAUGGCUGAGGAAGACGCGGCCGAGUGCCAUGGAGAUGGCAGGACCGAGAGCGCAGGGAGCACGACAUGGACAGCGGUCCGCGUCCGGCGAGCUGGAGACCAUGGCUGGGUAUGUGCAGGAAAGGGAGCCGAGCAGGGGCAAGUGCGCAGCGGCCAUGGAAGCAGGGAAGGAGCUCGGGCGAGCUGCUCGGUGGGCUGGAGCAGAGGAGCACGGCGCGGAGGAGAAAGGAGAGCGGCUGGGCGCUAUGAAGGGGCUCGGCUGGGCGCAGGGAGGAGCGCCGUUGAGCAGGAAGCUUCGCGCGCGCAGGGAUUCCACGGCGCCGGAGGAACAGAGGUCGAAGCGCGCCAUGGCAGGGAGAACUCGAGGGAAAAGAAGCCGCGACGCUGGGAGAUGGAGCUCGAAGCCGAG